UAGAAUUAGAUAAAGAAAAGAAGAAUAAAGAAACAGACGACUAAAGAGACGUGGGACCCCGGUGGCAAUAAGUCGGGAAACCUGUGUGGGCCGUCCCGUGAGGGCCACACUCACUGCUGUUUUAUCUCACAGUUGUAUUAAUACGAUGUAGCUUAAGGAUGUCAACUGGUGAACUAUUUCUUGCUAAGUAAAAUCAUCCAAUCAAUCAUUCAAGCAAUCAAACAGUCACAGAAGGAAAAUAAUAAUCAGAAGAAAGAGAGAAACGGAUGCUGCGCCGCGAGCCGUCGCGAGGAUCUCUUUGAACGCUUGUGCGCGUUUUCGAGGCGCUUCGGCCUUCCAUCCCAGAACCGGUAAACGCGGUGAUCGGCGGAUGUUCGGUAUUUGUUUUUAAUUUCAUAAUCCAGUGUGGUAGUUUUAUUCAGCGAGAUCCUGCAUCUUCCCUCCUCGCCUCGGCGGGGCUGCGAAGCGCCAGCGAGCCCAAGGUCUCCCUGGCGAGCAUGGCAGGAAUGGAGGGACCCCUGCAGGGCGCCUCGGCGUCCCCCGGGUCCUCCACGGAGGUGCCGGAGAUCUGCCGGCUACAAGCCAUGGCAGGUGCGGCUGGUUAGCCGUGGUAGGCAAUUCACCUAGGAGAGCAAACUCCGAACAACAAACCCGGGCAGGUGUGGCUCAUUAGCCGUGGUAGGCAAUUCACCUAGGAGAGCAAACUCCGAACAACAAACCCGGGCAGGUGCGGCUCGUUAGCCGUGGUAGGCAAUUCACCUAGGAGAGCAAACUCCGAACAACAAACCCGGGCAGGUGCGGCUCAUUAGCCGUGGUAGGCAAUUCACCUAGGAGAGCAAACUCCGAACAACAAACCCGGGCAGGUGUGGCUCGUUAGCCGUGGUAGGCAAUUCACCUAGGAGAGCAAACUCCGAACAACAAACCCGGGCAGGUGGAGCUCGUUAGCCGUGGUAGGCAAUUCACCUAGGAGAGCAAACUCCGAACAACAAACCCGGGCAGGUGGAGCUCGUUAGCCGUGGUAGGCAAUUCACCUAGGAGAGCAAACUCCGAACAACAAACCCGGGCAGGUGGAGCUCGUUAGCCGUGGUAGGCGGUUCAUCUAGGAGAAGGACAACUCCGAACAAUAAACCCGGGCAGGUGGAGCUCGUCAGCCGUGGUAGGCGGUUCAUCUAGGAGAAGGACAACUCCGAACAAUAAACCCGGGCAGGUGGAGCUCGUCAGCCGUGGCAGGCAGUUCAUCUAGGAGAAGGACAACUCCGAACAAUAAACCCGGGCAGGUGGAGCUCGUCAGCCGUGGCAGGCAGUCUGCCUAGGAGAGCAAACUCCGAACAAUAAACCCGGGCAGGUGGAGCUCGUCAGCCGUGGCAGGCAGUCUGCCUAGGAGAGCAAACUCCGAACAAUAAACACGGGCAGGUGGAGCUCGUCAGCCGUGGCAGGCAGUCUGCCUAGGAGAGCAAACUCCGAACAAUAAACCCGGGCAGGUGGAGCUCGUUAGAUGUCGUAGACAUCCACGUGAUGGGAACACCAAAAUGAAAAUGAAAAAGAA